CAAACCUCUCCUAUGGAACAACCACGCACACCGACAAAACGGACUCACACUAUUCAACUCCACUGACUCAGUCCCACCUCCGUCACCAUGCUUAAAGGCAAGUUCAAGCUCCCUGACAAAGCUCGCCGUGUCUUCCCCGAUCGGCUUGGAAGCUUGGUCGCGGGUCUUGAUGAUAAGGUAGAUGAAAAUGGCUUGUACGACCCUGUUGUUGAGUCCGGAGAGGAGCUCGAGUUUAUUCAGCCCAAUGGGGCCACAUUGGGUAAGGAGAGUGACUACGAAAUCCACUAUGAAUACGGCGAUGAUGGUAUUUUUGGCCUUAAUGAGAAAAUGAUGGAUAAAGAGGAUGCCAAGGCCCGGAAAAGAUCCGACAAAGAUGGACCGGGUCAGGCUUCGGUCAUGGAGGUUUUCGCCGCCGG
rnacentral:misc_RNA from 1 species